AUGAGGUAUCUAAAGUAGUUAAAGUCAUAGAAAUAGAGAGUAGGCCAGGCAUGGUGGUUCACGCCUAUAAUCCCAACACUUUGGGAGGCCGAGGCGGGCGGAUCAUGAGGUCAGGAGAUCGGGACCAUCCUGGCUAGCACCGUGAAACCCCGUCUCUACUAAAAGUACAAAAAAAUUAGCUGGGCGUGGUGGCGGGCGCUUGUAGUCCCAGCUACUAGGGAGGCUGAGGCAGGAGAAUGGCGUGAACCCAGGAGGCGGAGCUUGCAGUGAGCCGAGAUCACGCCACUGCACUCCAGCCUGGGCGACAGAGAGAGACUCAGUCUGGAAAAAAAAAAAAAAAAAAAAAAAAAAAAGA
rnacentral:lncRNA from 1 species